UGACGCCCUGAGCUGUCACACUGCUCCUCCAUGUCAGACCGAGGUGACGGUGGGUGUCCUGACAUGACGCGGCUCUCUCGGGGAGAAACGAUACAACAUGGUGGACGUCAGGGAGGAUCAGACGAAGGAGGAGAUGUCUCUGUUUGCUCUGAGAGAAAUAUUUUCAACCUUUAAUCCUCAAACUCACGGAAACCAGUGAAACCAGUCUGACCUGGAGGAGUCGACAGAAGAAACCAGACAAUGAUUCUGAGAUUUGAUUCUGAUUAAAGAUGCAAAAAGACAAAA